GACAAGGUUACCCUCUCUCUCUCAUACCGCUUGACGAGUGAAGCUUGCCCAACGAGACAAGAUUUCUCCGCCCUAAUCGAUCACUGGAAUCCCCCAAACCGUCGGCGUCGUAGAUCAGGUUAAAUGUCUAUAUAAGAAGCACGGAUGGGUCAUGUGAGAAUGUGGAACAUGCUGAGUAAUGUUACCCAAAAUGUGGAUGCAACAGCUGUUGUUCUUUUGUAUCAAAAGUUGGCAGGUAAAUAAUAUUUGUUAUCGUGUAGUUUAUUCCUAACUUUACAUUUUGUAAGCAUUGUGGUACUUCUAUCCAUGCUUGUAUUACUUAUUUAUGGUCUUAUAGCUGCAAUUACCAAUUGAUGGAGGAAUUCACAUUUGACUAGAUGUUUCAAAGUCAGAAUAUGAUGACUGCACUACAUCCGAUGAUUUUACAUUGUUUCAUGGUUAUUUUUUACAUGUCCAUCCACAAUAGAUGGUGGUGGUGGUAGAAUAGGUUAGAAGGUGGUGAGGUGAAUAUUUUAAUUAUUCGUAAACUGAGUAUUACGCCUUUUGGAGGGUGUUCCUUUUGGAGCCAUUUGACAUGUA